ACAAUCUAACGUGUUCAAUAUUAACCCUAUGAGUGAAUCACAUAUAUCAGUGGGGUGUGGCUCAUGCUGUAGCUCAGUAUCUCUCAGAUCCAGAAAGUGUCAGUAUGGGCUGUUUGUCUUUCAGUGUCUACAUCCACAGAGAGAGCAGUGAGGGUCAUUCUGUGUCUGUUUUCAGCGGUUCAUCACCAACAUAGCAAAAUACAAUACCUGGAUUGGACUGAGUCGCUCAGAAUUUAAGGGUAACUGGCUCUGGGUGGAUGGAACCCCUCUGCAGAAAGGAUUCUGGGGGAAUGGAGAUCCAGCUGACCGAAGUGGGUUUGAUUGUGCCUUCAUUGCCACUAAGAAUAAUGCAUGGGAUGCUUAUUACUGUUAUUAUGACGAGCAAUGGAUCUGUGAAAUGAAUGCUCUGCUCCCCUAAACCAUUUUUUUCAUUGUAUGUUUUUGGUUAUUUUACCUUGUGAGAGGCAGUUGAACAUGGCAGGUUUGACAGUCAAACAUAGGACCAAUAAACUGACCACAAGGUUACUGUUUCUGUUGGGAAUAUAUGGAAUAUACAUACUGCACUGCUAUGUUAACUAGAAAUGUGUCUGUGAGACUAGGCUUUAUUAAAUGCAUUGAUAUAGUAGGA